AGUGAACGCUGGCGGUAGGCCUAACACAUGCAAGUCGAACGGCAGCACAGUAAGAGCUUGCUCUUACGGGUGGCGAGUGGCGGACGGGUGAGGAAUACAUCGGAAUCUACUUUUUCGUGGGGGAUAACGUAGGGAAACUUACGCUAAUACCGCAUACGACCUACGGGUGAAAGCAGGGGAUCUUCGGACCUUGCGCGAUUGAAUGAGCCGAUGUCGGAUUAGCUAGUUGGCGGGGUAAAGGCCCACCAAGGCGACGAUCCGUAGCUGGUCUGAGGGGAUGAUCAGCAACACGGCAGAGAGGACACGCACCAAACCCGGACGGGAGGCAGCGGUGGGAAAUAUUGGACAAGGGGCGGAGGCCUAUACCGGCCAAACGGCGUGGGUGAAGAAGACCUUCGGGUUGUAAGGCCCUUUGGUUGGAAAGUAAAAAAGGCCGUUUAACCCCCCGGUUUUCGAACGGAACCCAAGAAUAAGGCACGGCUUAACUUGGG
rnacentral:rRNA from 1 species